rnacentral:rRNA from 1 species
AUUCCAGCUCCAAUAGCGUAUAUUAAUGUUGUUGCAGUUAAAAAGCUCGUAGUUGAAUUUCUGGUUAAAAUCUUAGCUGGCUUUGGUCGUUAAUGUUUUAAUCAUCCGUUAGAGAACUAUAACCGUCCUUAACUGGUCAUUAUAGAGAUCUAACAUUAUACUUUGAAAAAAUCAGAGUGUUUCAAGCAGGCAGUCGCUCUUGCAUGGAUUAGCAUGGGAUAAUGAAAUAGGACUCUGGUGCUAUUUUGUUGGUUUCGAACACCGGAGUAAUGAUUAACAGGGACAGUCAGGGGCACUCGUAUUCCGCCGAGAGAGGUGAAAUUCUCAGACCAGCGGAAGACGAACCACUGCGAAAGCAUUUGCCAGGGAUGUUUUCAUUG